rnacentral:lncRNA from 1 species
CACGAUGGCAGUUACGACUGCUUGUGAAUUUGGCAGACUCGAGUUUCCACUUCAACCACAGACAAUUUUACCGAAAUGUUCGACCACAUCCGCCAAUGGUUCAACCUGGUAUCACAACAAGCAUUCCGUCUUAUUAUACGCUAGGCCGGUUGUUUUUUUGACAUAUAGUCGUCUGAGCUUGAAUUUCCAUCGUCGCAACCCAAAAACAGGGAGAAGAGUUGCGUGGAAUUCUCGCGUCAUCUCCUUCCUUUGAUGAACUCGGACUGCCAAAGUGAACAACGAACCGCGAAACUCGGUGGCUCUACGGAGGUAUUGACGUUGUAACGACCACAAAAAGGUUGCGGUUCUAAAUCAUCGUUGUUUACGUAAGCGGAUUCCGAGCGAUAUUCAUCUACCAAAGACGAUUGUCCUUGGCAUUUUCCCUCGCCUGUCGGUUUAAUUGGCUGAUCUACAAAUUUGGCGCAAUCACCGUGGGAACGGAAUGGACGGACGAUGGAAUCAGCCAAGACUUAAACGUUUGGGGUAAGUGCAGUUUCAUUUUCUUGCGUGUUGCUGUGUGUUGAGAUUUCUUUGCAUAAAUUGUGCUUCAUCGAUUUUUUGAAUUUUUCGUGGCUUUCGUUUUGACCUUUGACAAUUUGAACGACAAUUAAGUGCGAUGCCACACCAAAUAAAUCAUAAUUCCAAAAUUAACUCAGCUCUGCGUUUAUGUAAUGCAGUUUCCGUUCGACAAGAUCAAAAUAAAUAUUGUUGUUAGAUAAGGGAAUACAAACACUUAGAAACAUGAAAAAUAGCCACGGUUUUUUCCCUUUUCCGUCGUUGUUAAGGUAACGACCCAUUCUGUCGUCUUCCGGGGUAUACCACCAAAGAUCAGCACAGCAAAUCGAAGCGAAAUCUUUUCUUUGUUAAUUUUUUUAUCGUAGGGCUGGA